GUCAUUUUCUUCCUUGGACAUGUCUAGCGCUUUUACAAUGUCGUCAUUUUCUUCCUCGGACAUGUCCAACGGUUUGACUAGGUCGUUGUUUUCAGCCUUGGUAAUGUCCAGCGCUUUCACUAGGUCGUUGUUUUCAGCCUUGGAAAUGUCCAGCGCUUUCACAAGGUCGGAUUUUUCAGCCUUGGAAAUGUCAAGCGUUUUCACAAGGUCGUUGUUUUCAGCCUUGGUAAUGUCCAGCGUUUUCACAAGGUCGUUGUUUUCAGCCUUGGUAAUGUCCAGCGUUUUCACAAGGUCGGAUUUUUCAGCCUUGGUAAUGUCAAGCGCUUUCACAAGGUCGGAUUUUUCAGCCUUGGUAAUGUCCAGCGUUUUCACAAGGUCUUUGUUUUCAGCCUUGGUAAUGUCAAGCGCUUUCACAAGGUCGGAUUUUUCAGCCUUGGUAAUGUCCAGCGUUUUCACAAGGUCUUUGUUUUCAGCCUUGGUAAUGUCAAGCGCUUUCACAAGGUCGGAUUUUUCAGCCUUGGUAAUGUCCAGCGUUUUCACAAGGUCUUUGUUUUCAGCCUUGGUAAUGUCCAGCGUUUUCACAAGGUCGGAUUUUUCAGCCUUGGUAAUGUCAAGCGCUUUCACAAGGUCGGAUUUUUCAGCCUUGGUAAUGUCAAGCGUUUUCACAAGGUCGGAUUUUUCAGCCUUGGUAAUGUCAAGCGCUUUCACAAGGUCGUUGUUUUCAGCCAUGGUAAUGUCCAGCGCUUUCACAAGGUCGUUGUUUUCUGCCAUGGUAAUGUCCAGCGCUUUCACAAGGUCGUUGUUUUCUGCCAUGGUAAUGUCCAGCGCUUUCACAAGGUCGUUGUUUUCUGCCAUGGUAAUGUCCAGCGCUUUCACAAGGUCGUUGUUUUCUGCCAUGGUAAUGUCCAGCGUUUUCACAAGGUCGUUGUUUUCAGCCUUGGUAAUGUCCAGCGUUUUCACAAGGUCGUUGUUUUCAGCCUUGGUAAUGCCCAGCGCUUUGACAAUUUCGGAUUUUUCAUCGUUUGAGAUGGCUUGCGCUUUCACAAGGUCGUUAUUCUCAGCCCGGCAAGUGAUCAGCUCUUUGACCAAACCAUUAUUUUCUUCCCAGGAUAAGGAGACGACUUCUUGCAGCCUGUCAGUUUCUUUCCUAGCGUUAGUCAGGUCACGGAGCAGGCCGUUGUUUUCUUCCCGGAAUGAGAACACGACUUUUCGCAUCCUGUGAAUGAUCUUCCCAGCCUUAUACAGGUCGUUUAGCAGGACGUUAUUUUCGCGUCGCAGUAAGUACAGGUCAUCGAGGAGCCCGCUGUUUUCUUCCUCCAGGGCUGACCUGUGCUGUUCUUGGUGCCUCCAAGCCGCUUGUUGGGCCAGCAGCGCCCUGUGUAGGACGCUGGCUUCAUCUGUGGCCUGCAGCAGGAGGACGCCCAGGAGGGCGUUUUGUCUGGCCAGGUCCUGCAUGGCCAGCUGUGUUCGCUCCUGCUCGGCCAGCAGACCGGCAGUCACCCACGCCUUUUGGGCCGGUGGUCCUCCGUCCCCAGACGCGGCGGCGGGCAGCUCCUCGGCGGGCGGGGUUGUGGGGCCGAACCCGAUGCUCUCUAGGAGCAGACUGGUGACGAGGGCCCACCACAGCACCGCCAGAACAACGUCGAGGCGCAUCGUGAUAAUGAAAAUUGAAGUACAGCUGAAUAUAAAUAAGUGCGGAAGUGAGAGACAACGAAGG